GAAGACUUCUCAGGUGGGUUCCAAUCCUGUGAAAGUUCGAUUCUAAACAUGGGAUAAAAGGUCUUGUGAGCCUGUGGUUGGAAUCCAAGGGCAAGCUCCUACCAUUGAUGGGAGGAUCAGUUCCCAGGAUAAUGUCGAAUGAAUUCUAGUGCUCAUUAGGAGAUUUAGACAGGCAACCUGCCUUGUAGAAUGGCACCUUAACCAAUACAAUAAAGUGAAAUAUAAGCAUAGAAUUCAUCUUAGGGAGGGACCUGUCUCUGAGAAAGUAUCUUGAAAGCUAGGGGACUAUAAGGUACUGGGAGUGUAAGACACAAGAGGCUUCACAGCCAGAGGAGAUGUUGAAGCUUUUUUGCAGGAGGCAAUGAGAGAGAUUUGUGCCUGGUUUGGUUUUGGUUCUCUUUUCUCAAAGGUUGAGAGAGAGCAUGGAGAUCAGAGCUGCAGAUAGAAGAGAGGAGCUGGACAAGUGGACCAUGGAAAUGUUCCUGGUCAUCGGCGUUUUAGGACUGGGCGACUCCCACCGUUCCAUCUGAAGACUCCCAGCGUUCCAUCUGAAGAGCCUUGCACGGCUUCUCCAUCUCCCUCAGGUCCCUGCCUCUGCUGUGUGGUCCACCGCCCUCAGGGAUGCCUCCAGGGAGGGUGUGCAUAUGUUCACACCUGAGUGAAAAUCUGGGAAGAGAGCUGGGUUUAUGGCUGGGUCCAUACUGUGUAAACAGAGACACGACACGUGGACACAGGAGCCCAGAGGGGCCGGGGUACAUACACCUGCAGCUCCAGAUUAAAACUAUGGAGUAUGACCCACAGAUUCAUCUCAGGCACCAGAACUGCACAAUGCAAGAGCUCAGAUAACCUGCUCUUGCUCCAUCUCACACCAUGAUGGUGGAUGUUCGCACCUUAGAACAGCUCCUGAACUACAACAGAAAGACUCAGAUUCACACGGUGUAGUUAAAGUAAAAGUGAUCACGUUUCCAUUUUUUUGAAAAUCACUAAUUUGUGUAUGGGAAAAUUGGUGCUUAAGUUGAUUCAGUACUUAUAUGUACUAAGCAUGGUUUGAAGACUUCACAACAACUUAGUGGUGUAGGUACUAUCAUCAUCAUCAUCAUCAUCAUCAUCACCGUUGAGGAAACUGAGGCACAGAGAGGUUAAGUAACAUGCCAAAGAUCACUCAACUGGAAAGCAGCAGAACUGUGCUUUCAUGGAGUCUGGCACAUAGCCCACAUGUCUAACCAUCACCAUUUAACCCUGAAUUGAUGAAUCCUCCAAAACAACCCGUGUUGAUACCCAAUUGGACAAAUGGGAUGGUGAGUGUGUGCAUAUGUGCAGAGAGACAGAGACAGAAAGAGACAAACAGAGAGAAGUCAAAUCAGAAUAUAUUAGAGAUUGGGAGGGAAGUAGUGAUGGAUCCUCACAGUCAUGCAGUACUUCGUAAAGAGUUUUCAUAUACAUUAUCUCAUUAGGUCCUCAUAAUAAUUGAUCUGAGGUAGGUACUCGUGCUGCUCACAAUGGGCUG
rnacentral:lncRNA from 1 species